rnacentral:rRNA from 1 species
UACGUAGGGUGCAAGCGUUAAUCGGAAUUACUGGGCGUAAAGCGUGCGCAGGCGGUUUUGUAAGCCCGAUGUGAAAGCCCCGGGCUUAACCUGGGAAUGGCAUUUGGGACUGCAAGGCUUGAGUGCGGCAGAGGAGACUGGAAUUCCUGGUGUAGCAGUGAAAUGCGUAGAUAUCAGGAGGAAUACCGAUGGCGAAGGCAGGUCUCUGGGCUGACACUGACGCUCAUGCACGAAAGCGUGGGGAGCAAACAGG